UACGUAGGGUGCGAGCGUUGUCCGGAAUUAUUGGGCGUAAAGGGCUCGUAGGCGGUCUGUCGCGUCGGCAGUGAAAACUCAGGGCUUAACCCUGAGCCUGCUUCCGAUACGGGCAGACUAGAGGUAUGCAGGGGAGAAUGGAAUUCCUGGUGUAGCGGUGAAAUGCGCAGAUAUCAGGAGGAACACCGGUGGCGAAGGCGGUUCUCUGGACCGAGACUGACGCUGAGGCGCGAAAGCGUGGGGAGCAAACAGG
rnacentral:rRNA from 1 species